GAUGAAGAACGUAGCAAAAUGCGAUAAGUAAUGUGAAUUGCAGAAUUCAGUGAAUCAUCGAAUCUUUGAACGCACAUUGCUCCCGCCAGUAUUCUGGCGGGCAUGCCUGUUCGAGCGUCAUUUCAACCCUCAAGCUCAGCUUGGUGUUGGGACUCGCGGUAACCCGCGUUCCCCAAAUCGAUUGGCGGUCACGUCGAGCUUCCAUAGCGUAGUAAUCAUACACCUCGUUACUGGUAAUCGUCGCGGCCACGCCGUAAAACCCCAACUUCUGAAUGUUGACCUCGGAUCAGGUAGGAAUACCCGCUGAACUUAAGCAUAUCAAUAAGCGGAGGA
rnacentral:misc_RNA from 1 species